UACGGAAGGUCCGGGCGUUAUCCGGAUUUAUUGGGUUUAAAGGGAGCGUAGGCCGGAGAUUAAGCGUGUUGUGAAAUGUAGACGCUCAACGUCUGCACUGCAGCGCGAACUGGAGGGCUUGAGUUCACGGGAAGCCGGCGGAAUUCGUCGUGUAGCGGUGAAAUGCUUAGAUAUGACGAAGAACUCCGAUUGCGAAGGCAGCUCACUGGAGCGCAACUGACGCUGAAGCUCGAAAGUGCGGGUAUCGAACAGG
rnacentral:rRNA from 1 species